AGCCCACCUUAUAACAUCAAAAACCCUAAACUCCUCUAUUCUUUCUCACUUUCACUCAGUCGUUCUCAGUUCUCCUCCAUUCUCUCUCUUAAAUUUUCUCUCUUUUCAUUCCCUAAAACCCUCUCCAACCUUUUUCAAACCCUUAAUUUCGAUUUAAUCCUUGAAUUAUUUUCAUCAAUCUACACUUCCUCGCGUCAUCUCAACCUCUCCUUCAUCAAUUCAAGUUGUGUUAAUCCCUCGGCGUUUUUCCACCACCAUCGCAUCACUCUUUCUUUGCUUCAUCGGCCUCACCUCAUCGUUGCCGCUCAAUCGAUCUAGCAACAGCAAGCAUCAACCUCUCCGCAAAUCAUUGAAAUUGGAGACAUGUUUAUGUUUUUUUUAAUUUUAGAUCUUAUGUAAUGUAAUUUAAUUUGGUAUUUUAUCAUCCAAGACUAUUUAUGAUCUACACUUUUAAUU